rnacentral:sRNA from 1 species
AAUACGAACCGUGAAAGCGU